GAUGAACGCUGGCGGCGUGCCUAAUACAUGCAAGUCGAGCGAACAGACGAGAGUGCUUGCACUCUCUGGCGUGAGCGGCGGACGGGUGAGACACACGUGGGCAACCUACCUAUAAGACUGGGAUAACUUCGGGAAACGGGAACUCAUACCAGAUAAUAUUUAUCUUUGGAUGGAGCAAUAGUGAUAGGCCGUUCUGCUGUCACUUAUAGAUGGACCCGCGGUGUAGUAGGUGGUUGGUGUGGUAACGGCUCACCAAGGCAACGAUGCAUAGCCGACGGGGGAGGGUGAUCGGCGACACUAGAACUGAGACAGGGACAAGGGUCCUGCGGGAGGCAGCAGUAGGGAAUCUGCCGCAAUAGUCGAAAGUCUGACGGAGCAGUGCCGCGUGAGUGAAGAAAGUGUUCGGAUCGUAAAGCUGGGUUGUGAGGGAAGAACAAGUACGGUAGGAACUGAACGUAGCGUGACGGUACCUGAUCAGGAAGCCACGGCUAACUACGUG
rnacentral:rRNA from 1 species